UACGUAGGGGGCUAGCGUUGUCCGGAAUCAUUGGGCGUAAAGAGCGUGUAGGCGGCUCGGUAAGUCCGCUCUGAAAGCCCGGGGCUCAACCCCGGGAGGCGGGCGGAUACUGUCGGGCUAGAGUCCGGAAGAGGCGAGUGGAAUUCCUGGUGUAGCGGUGAAAUGCGCAGAUAUCAGGAGGAACACCAAUUGCGAAGGCAGCUCGCUGGGACGUAACUGACGCUGAGACGCGAAAGCGUGGGGAGCGAACAGG
rnacentral:rRNA from 1 species